AUUGAACGCUGGCGGCAGGCCUAACACAUGCAAGUCGAGCGAGCGGCGGACGGGUGAGUAAUGUCCGGGAAACUGCCUGAUGGAGGGGGAUAACUACUGGAAACGGUAGCUAAUACCGCAUACCAUCAGAUGUGCCCAGAUGGGAUUAGCUAGUAGGUGGGGUAACGGCUCACCUAGGAGACGAUCCCUAGCUGGUCUGAGAGGAUAACCAGCCACACUGGACCUGAGACACGGUCCAGACUCCGACGGGCGGCAGCAGUGGAGAAUAUUGCACAAUGGGCGCAAGCCGGAUGCAGCCAUGCAGCGUGUGUGAAGAAGGCCUUCGGGUUGUAAAGCUCUUUCAGCGGGGAGGCGUUACCCGCAUAAGAAGCACCGGCUAACUCCGUGCCAGCAGCCGCGGUAAUUC
rnacentral:rRNA from 1 species